UGCUAAGAUGCCAGAAAACACUUAUGGAAC
rnacentral:piRNA from 1 species